rnacentral:rRNA from 1 species
GUAUGGUGCAAGCGUUAUCCGGAUUUACUGGGUGUAAAGGGAGCGUAGACGGAUAGGCAAGUCUGGAGUGAAAGCCCGGGGCUCAACCCCGGGACUGCUUUGGAAACUGUUUAUCUAGAGUGCUGGAGAGGUAAGUGGAAUUCCUAGUGUAGCGGUGAAAUGCGUAGAUAUUAGGAGGAACACCAGUGGCGAAGGCGGCUUACUGGACAGUAACUGACGCUGAGGCUCGAAAGCGUGGGGAGCAAACAGGAUUAGAUACCCUGGUAGUCCACGCCGUAAACGAUGACUGCUAGGUGUCGGGUGGCAAAGCCAUUCGGUGCCGCAGCUAACGCAAUAAGCAGUCCACCUGGGGAGUACGUUCGCAAGAAUG